CAGCCGCCGCGGUAAUACGUAGGUGGCAAGCGUUGUCCGGAAUUAUUGGGCGUAAAGCGCGCGCAGGCGGAUCAGUCAGUCUGUCUUAAAAGUUCGGGGCUUAACCCCGUGAGGGGAUGGAAACUGCUGAUCUAGAGUAUCGGAGAGGAAAGUGGAAUUCCUAGUGUAGCGGUGAAAUGCGUAGAUAUUAGGAAGAACACCAGUGGCGAAGGCGACUUUCUGGACGAAAACUGACGCUGAGGCGCGAAAGCCAGGGGAGCGAACGGGAUUAGAUACCCCUGUAGUCCCUGUCUCUUAUACA
rnacentral:rRNA from 1 species